GGGUACAGACCUUGGCAUCUCUUCCGGUCGUCCUAAAACUGACAGGCUCAGGGUUGACAAGUGAGUCCUCAGCCCUCGUUGUGACUAAUUAGAAAUUCAAGUCCGUUUCUCACGAAGAGAAGGUUCCCAGCUUACCCUAUCAAUAGUUUGAACAAUUGGAGAAAAAUAAGCAAACCACGAGGCUGAUUGGGAUGGAUCAGCAAGGAGUUUCUAUGGCAUGGUCAACGCUCUGAAAGGAGAUCAGGGCCGCGGCGCCUCUCUUCUUGGGGCUGGCAUGUGCGAACCCACCACUCGCCAUGUGUGACUCCAUGUGCAUGAUUCAUUCCAGAGCAGUUUUAGUCCUCAUAAAAUAUUCAUUUUGGUUGUGCAUCGUGCUUCUCAAACAGGGAGCCCGGGAGAUGGCCACAGGUUCUCUUUGCGAUGUUGGCCGUCUUCCUCCACCAGCGCUAAGUGGUCUGUACAUCGGGAGAGAGAAGUGGCUCCUUUUUAAGCCUAAUGGAUUUACACAGACCAUUCUCUUCAUUCUCCUAAAACUCUUGGGAUGGACAAUAGCAGCACUUCCAGCUCUGCCCCGCACUGUCUUGGGGACAGACAAAGGGGAAGGAGCACCAGUGGGGAACCCUCCAGCGUUGGCAGAGGCGUGCACCCAUCACCCAGUGUGGAGAGGCCUCAAUGGGGCAG
rnacentral:lncRNA from 1 species